rnacentral:rRNA from 1 species
UGACUGGGGUGAAGUCGUAACAAGGUAGCCGUAGGGGAACCUGCGGCUGGAUCACCUCCUUAAC